rnacentral:rRNA from 1 species
AACUUCAUUUUUUAAAUCCUUCACGCAGAGGGGGGUGGCUGUUUAUGCUUCUUCGUCAGGGACUACUACUACUACAUGCUACAAACACGUCUUGUGAUAUUUGACCCCAUACUAUAUGGAGGACGUCUGUUCCAGCAGUGGGGGGACAUGUACAUAAGGAUUGAGGGAUGCAGGUUAAAAUGGAUUAGGAACCACCAGGCUAAGCUACGUGCUGACUUAUACCAAGGCGUUGUCGAUAGCAUCACGGCAGGGGAGACACGAGCAAGCUCUAUUGGCACUAGGACUGUUCUCCCAUGGUCAUUCUAGGGGGGAUUCCGUGACAUGAAGCGGAGGCAUAUGGACGCCAUGUCAUUGGUGUAG